GCAGUACUACUGGUACCUCUUGUUCCACCCCACCUUGUUGAUGAUGUUUGGCUAAACACUUUAGAAGACAUUAGAGAAACUGAAAACAUACCCGCUACAAGUUCAUUUACAGAUUACGUGACAGAGUUUUGGGUUGAAAACUACCGCUUUCUAUGGAACCACUAUUACACAGAAGGACCCCGCACCAUGCACAAAUCACCUGGAAGGAUGGCACAACAAACAUAAGAAGCGACUCAAACACGCCCACCCAAACAUCUACGAGAUCAUUGAGCUACUGAAGAAGACAAAAGCACUAACAGAAUGCAACAUUAUCCAGUAUGCAGCAGGAGGAACCCGCUCACCGUAAAGACGAC
rnacentral:lncRNA from 1 species